rnacentral:rRNA from 1 species
CAGUCGCCGCGGUAAUACGUAGGUCCCGAGCGUUGUCCGGAUUUAUUGGGCGUAAAGGGAGCGCAGGCGGUUUAGUAAGUCUGGAGUUAAAGGCAUUGGCUCAACCAAUGUAUGCUUUGGAAACUGUUUGACUUGAGUGCAGAAGGGGAGAGUGGAAUUCCAUGUGUAGCGGAGAAAUGCGUAGAUAUAUGGAGGAACACCGGUGGCGAAAGCGGCUCUCUGGUCUGUCACUGACGCUGAGGCCCGAAAGCGCGGGUAGCGAACAGGAUUAGAUACCCCUGUAGUCCCUGUCUCUUAUACC